rnacentral:rRNA from 1 species
CCUACGGGUGGCUGCAGUGGGGGAUAUUGCACAAUGGGGGGAACCCUGAUGCAGCGACGCCGCGUGGGUGAAGAAGCGCCUCGGCGCGUAAAGCCCUGUCAGCAGGGAAGAAAAUGACGGUACCUGAAGAAGAAGCCCCGGCUAACUACGUGCCAGCAGCCGCGGUAAUACGUAGGGGGCAAGCGUUAUCCGGAUUUACUGGGUGUAAAGGGGGCGCAGACGGCGGUGCAAGCCAGGAGUGAAAGGGCGGGGCCCAACCCCGGGACUGAUUUUGGACCUGCGUGGCUGGAGUGCAGGAGGGGCAGGCGGAAUGCGUGGGGUAGCGGUGAAAUGCGUAGAUAUCAGGAGGAACACCGGUGGCGAAGGCGGCCGGCUGGACUGCAACUGACGUUGAGGCACGAAAGCGUGGGGAGCAAACAGGAUUAGAUACCCGUGUAGUC